rnacentral:rRNA from 1 species
GUGCCAGCCGCCGCGGUAAGACGGGGGAGGCAAGCGUUGUCCGGAAUUAUUGGGCGUAAAGAGCGCGUAGGUGGUUUGUAAAGUCAUUUGUGAAAACUUUAGGCUUAACUUAAAGACUGCAAGUGAUACUGACAAACUUGAGUACAGUAGAGGAAAGUGGAAUUCCUGGUGUAGCGGUGAAAUGCGCAGAUAUCAGGAAGAACACCAGUGGCGAAGGCGGCUUUCUGGGCUGUUACUGACACUGAGGCGCGAAAGCUAGGGGAGCGAACAGGAUUAGAUACCCUGGUAGUCCUAGCUGUAAACGAUGGAUACUAGGUGUGGGAAGUUAUCGACGCUUUCCGUGCCGAAGCUAACGCAUUAAGUAUCCCGCCUGGGGAGUACGGCCGCAAGGCUAAAACUUAAAUGAAUUGACGGGG